rnacentral:lncRNA from 1 species
CAGCUCCCCAUGUGAACCAGAUGUCAUCUGGUUCACCGAGCUAUAAGCUGGGCGAGCACCACAGCAAUACAUUAUCAGACAGAAGUGGCCUCUAUGGGCCUGGACUGGAGCAGGUGUGUGAACAAGUGAGCUGUACUUGUAGGUGGCCCAGAUCUCAUGCACACUGACCCCACUGCAUGGCUUCCCUUCCUUAACCCACAUCGGUGGUCACUUGACAUUCUCCCGUGGGCAGAAAAGGCUCAGGGAAAGUUCUCAGGUGCUUUUGCUUCACAGGGUGCCACCACCCCAGAGUGGACAGCUGCAGCAUCACAGCCCCAUGUGGAAGGACAGAACUGGAUCCAAAUCCUGCAGACUGACUUAAGACCUCCCCCACCUGUCCACCCCUUGAUGCUGCCUUUUCCUGCAAGUCCGUGUGGCUUUGGGCUGACUCAUGAAAGAGAGGCUGGCUGCUUUCCUGGCAGGCCCUCUCCGUGCCCAGCUCCUCCUGCAUGAAGACCUCAAAGGUGUUGCCUCUGGGCACCUCCCAGCCUUCCUGCCAGGCAGCACCUCCCUCCUGGCAGCUCCCGCCCCCACCCUGCGCUCUGCCCACUUCCAAGGGCUGGGCAGGCUGUCUGGGAUGGCACCGGAGAAGCUGCCUGCUGAGUC